rnacentral:rRNA from 1 species
GAUGAACGCUGGCGGCGUGCCUAAUACAUGCAAGUCGAACGAAGAUCUAGCUUGCUAGAUCUUAGUGGCGAACGGGUGAGUAAUACAUAAAUAAUCUGCCCAUAUGACUGGGAUAACUAUUGGAAACGAUAGCUAAUACCGGCUAGGUUGAUUGGAGGCAUCUCUGAUUAAUUAAAGUAGGAUUUCUACACAAAUGGAUGAGUUUAUGGCGCAUUAGUUCGUUGGUGGGGUAACGGCCUACCAAGACGAUGAUGCGUAGCCGACCUGAGAGGGUGACCGGCCACACUGGGACUGAGAAACGGCCCAGACUCCUACGGGAGGCAGCAGUAGGGCAUUUUCGGCAAUGGGCGCAAGCCUGACCGAGCAACGCCGCGUGAGUGAUUAAGGCCUUCGGGUUGUAAAGCUCUGUUGUAAGGGAAGAACAUUCAGGAUAGGAAAUGAUCUUGAACUGACGGUACCUUACCAGAAAGCCACGGCUAACUACGUGCCAGCAGCCGCCGUAA